rnacentral:rRNA from 1 species
GAUGAACGCUAGCGACAGGCUUAACACAUGCAAGUCGAGGGGCAGCAUGAGGUAGCAAUACCUUGAUGGCGACCGGCGCACGGGUGAGUAACGCGUAUGCAACCUGCCCGAUACCGGGGUAUAGCCCAUGGAAACGUGGAUUACCACCCCAUAGUACUUUUAUCCUGCAUGGGAUGUGAGUUAAAUGUUCAAGGUAUCGGAUGGGCAUGCGUCCUAUUAGUUAGUUGGCGGGGUAACAGCCCACCAAGACGAUGAUAGGUAGGGGUUCUGAGAGGAAGGUCCCCCACAUUGGAACUGAGACACGGUCCAAACCCCUACGGGAGGCAGCAGUGAGGAAUAUUGGUCAAUGGACGUAAGUCUGAACCAGCCAAGUCGCGUGAGGGAAGACUGCCCUAUGGGUUGUAAACCUCUUUUAUAAGGGAAGAAUAAGUUCUACGUGUAGAAUGAUGCCUGUACCUUAUGAAUAAGCAUCGGCUAACUCCGUGCCAGCAGCCGCGGUAA